rnacentral:misc_RNA from 1 species
GAAGGAGUGGCGGCUGAAGACGGCGGUGUAUUUCACACAGACCUGCGCCGUGAACAACAUUUAUUUCCAUAUUUAUAGAGGAGAAAUUAAGCUGCCGUUGGCGGGGGAGGAGGAGAUUCGGAUCGGCGGAAUGCCGCCGCUGACGGCGGCGGAUUUGCCAUCGUUUGUGAAAGAUGUGAAAUCGUGUCCGGGGUUUUUAGAUUUAGUGAUUAAUCAGUUUCGGAACAUUGAGGAAGCAGAUUGGUUAAUGUGCAACAGUUUCUACGAACAAGAA